UAACGACUCUCGGCAACGGAUAUCCCGGCUCUCGCAUCGAUGAAGAACGUAGCGAAAUGCGAUACUUGGUGUGAAUUGCAGAAUCCCGUGAACCAUCGAGUCUUUGAACGCAAGUUGCGCCCGAAGCCAUUAGGCUGAGGGCACGUCUGCCUGGGUGUCACGC
rnacentral:rRNA from 3 species